GGACCAAUAUGUCGGUCGUGCUUCGGUACGUACUGUCAUUAUUGGUUUCUCCCUUCUGAAGAACCUUGAUGUCAUUAAUUUGGUGUCUUGGGGAAUCAGGACUGUUACUUUGAAAAUUAGAGUGUUUAAAGCAGGCUCGCGCUUGAAUACAUUAGCAUGGAAUAAUGAAAUAGGACGUUUGAUUCUAUUUUGUUGGUUUCUAGGAUCGACGUAAUGAUUAAUAGGGAUAGUUGGG
rnacentral:rRNA from 1 species